rnacentral:sRNA from 1 species
AUGACUUUGAAGUUUUGAACCUCUUACCUCUACCUAGUUGCUCCCAUGCCUGUUUUGUGUAGUGCUGAGGAUCACACUUAGAGCUUUAUGCAUGUUAGGCAAGCAUGCUACCUUUGUUACAUCACCCACCCUUUGGCCCACUCUUGAUGGCAUGUUGCUUUCCAGCAGAGAUCAUAGUUGAGAAAGUUUCCUCUACACCAGGGAAACUUUUAAACAAAACAAGAGCUUGCCAUUCUUAUUCCAAGACUGUCCCCUACUUUAACAUUCUCCGGAGUAGAAAAAUGGCCACACACUGUGAAAAGGAGAAGAUUCUUUAUCGUCUGGAUUUUGUCAGGGGAAAAGAAUCACCUAAGAUGUAAUUGCCUGCUCUAUCACACACAUCAAGCCGGCUGCGAGGCUGCGUCCGAUCACUGGAUUAGCGGCUCAUUGCUCCCCCCCGCACCGGACAGCUCGCUCAAGUGUUGUCUUCUGUUGGAGAAUGGGCUUCCGAUUUAAAUGCCUCUGCAGUUUUGUUUACAUUUCUCAGAGAUUCCACUCAGAUCCGCAGAGGACCGGGAGAAAGGCAAUAACAGCCUCGGUCUCAUAUCAGCCCAACGUUCUGUCUCUUAUCUCCCAAUAGCACAAAAGGUGACCCCAGUGGAAAUGCAAAGUAGAACCUUGAGUCAUUACGGAGGCACUGGUGAUAAACACUCCCCCAUCUUAAUUCAGGAGCAUCCCUACCGCCAGGCUGGGAGAAUGCAAAAGACUUCUGUUACCCAGAGCAACGUUUGCUCUGACCCGUGACCAUAAAAACAUCCAUGAUUCAUCCCACUGACAGCACGUGACCCUGUCAGCUCCUCCGGAGAGAACGGGAGGUCCACUUCAUGCCACUCGGUUUUCCCAGACAGUUCCUCUAGAUCUUCAACCUCUGAAUGCCUUUUUCAAAAUAUGUGGGGGGAGGGGUGAAGAGACACGUGAAUUGCUGGUCACAUCAUUGAGUUCCAUCUUCAGUGAGAGACCUUUUCCGAUUUGUCCUUCAUACCUGUCCUUCAUAAAUACAGCCUCAUUUAUUCCAA